rnacentral:rRNA from 1 species
AGUGAACGCUGGCGGUAGGCCUAACACAUGUAAGUCGAACGGCAGCACAGUAAGAGCCUGCUCUUACGGGUGGCGAGUGGCGGACGGGUGAGGAAUACAUCGGAAUCUACUUUUUCGUGGGGGAUAACGUAGGGAAACUUACGCUAAUACCGCAUACGACCUACGGGUGAAAGCAGGGGAUCUUCGGACCUUGCGCGAUUGAAUGAGCCGAUGUCGGAUUAGCUAGUUGGCGGGGUAAAGGCCCACCAAGGCGACGAUCCGUAGCUGGUCUAAGAGGAUGAUCAGCCACACUGGAACUGAGACACGGUCCAGACUCCUACGGGAGGCAGCAGUGGGGAAUAUUGGACAAUGGGCGCAAGCCUGAUCCAGCCAUACCGCGUGGGUGAAGAAGGCCUUCGGGUUGUAAAGCCCUUUUGUUGGGAAAGAAAAGCAGCAGGUUAAUACCCCGCUGUUCUGACGGUACCCAAAGAAUAAGCACCGGCUAACUUCGUG